rnacentral:rRNA from 1 species
CGGCUUUUUGGGAUUCGCUCCACCUUACGGUAUCGCAGCCCUCUGUACCGGCCAUUGUAGCAUGCGUGAAGCCCAAGACAUAAGGGGCAUGAUGAUUUGACGUCAUCCCCACCUUCCUCCGAGUUGACCCCGGCAGUCUCCCAUGAGUCCCCGGCAUAACCCGCUGGCAACAUAGGACGAGGGUUGCGCUCGUUGCGGGACUUAACCCAACAUCUCACGACACGAGCUGACGACAACCAUGCACCACCUGUGUACGAGUGUCCAAAGAGAACCCCGUCUCGGGGGCUUUCNCGNACAUGUCAAGCCUUGGUAAGGUUCUUCGCGUUGCAUCGAAUUAAUCCGCAUGCUCCGCCGCUUGUGCGGGCCCCCGUCAAUUCCUUUGAGUUUUAGCCUUGCGGCCGUACUCCCCAGGCGGGGCACUUAAUGCGUUAGCUGCGGCACGGAACUCGUGGAAUGAGCCCCACACCUAGUGCCCAACGUUUACGGCAUGGACUACCAGGGUAUCUAAUCCUGUUCGCUCCCCAUGCUUUCGCUCCUCAGCGUCAGUUGCGGCCCAGAGACCUGCCUUCGCCAUCGGUGUUCCUCCUGAUAUCUGCGCAUUCCACCGCUACACCAGGAAUUCCAGUCUCCCCUACCGCACUCUAGUCUGCCCGUACCCGAUGCAAGCCCGAGGUUGAGCCUCGGGAUUUCACACCAGACGCGACAGACCGCCUACGAGCUCUUUACGCCCAAUAAUUCCGGACAACGCUUGCGCCCUACGUAUUACCGCGGCUGCUGGCACGUAGUUAGCCGGCGCUUCUUCUGCAGGUACCGUCACUUGCGCUUCUUCCCUGCUGAAAGAGGUUUACAACCCGAAGGCCGUCAUCCCUCACGCGGCGUCGCUGCAUCAGGCUUGCGCCCAUUGUGCAGUAUUCCCCACUGCUGCCUCCCGUAGGAGUCUGGGCCGUGUCUCAGUCCCAGUGUGGCCGGUCGCCCUCUCAGGCCGGCUACCCGUCGACGCCUUGGUAGGCCAUCACCCCACCAACAAGCUGAUAGGCCGCGAGCCCAUCCCCCACCGAAAAACUUUCCAACCCACACCA